rnacentral:rRNA from 1 species
UACGUAGGGGGCAAGCGUUGUCCGGAUUUAUUGGGCGUAAAGAGCGUGUAGGCGGCUUGGUAGGUCCGCUGUGAAAACUCGAGGCUCAACCUCGAGAUGUCGGCGGAAACCACUUGGCUAGAGUCCGGAAGAGGAGAGUGGAAUUCCUGGUGUAGCGGUGAAAUGCGCAGAUAUCGGGAAGAACACCCGUGGCGAAAGCGGCUCACUGGACCACAACUGACGCUGAGGCGCGAAAGCUAGGGGAGCAAACAGG